UAUGUGAUCGUCUCUCGCAUAUCAAUAAGCGGAGGAAAAGAAACUAACAAGGAUUCCCCUAGUAACGGCGAGUGAAGCGGGAAGAGCUCAAAUUUGAAAUCUUAAAGGGUUUCCCUUUACGAAUUGUAGUUUAAAGAAGUGUUUUCUGUUGAGGUGUUGGUAAAAGUUCUUUGGAAUAGGACAUCAUAGAGGGUGAGAAUCCCGUAUUUGACCUUUACUUUCAACUUUGUGAUACACUUUCAAAGAGUCGGAUUGUUUGGGAAUGCAGUCCAAAAUGGGUGGUAAAUUUCAUCUAAAGCUAAAUAUUGGCGAGAGACCGAUAGCGAACAAGUACCGUGAGGGAAAGAUGAAAAGAACUUUGAAAAGAGAGUUAAACAGUACGUGAAAUUGUCAAAAGGGAAGCGUUUGACACCAGUGUUGUUUUUCUGAAAAUCAAUUAAAGAACUGUUUAUGCUAAGCUGUUUAGACUUUAUCAGCUAUCUGUUUAGUUUUGAGCUUUUCUUUAAUGCACUUUUCAGUUAACAAGUCAACAUCAAUUUCUUUUGCUGUAAAAAAGCUUGAGGAAGGUGGCUUGAGAUUCGUCUUAAGUGUUUAUAGCCUCUUGCCUAUGCAGUCGGAGAGAUUGAGGUCUGCAGCGUAGAUCCUUCGGGGCUAAAUGCAUUUGUGCUAAGUUAUAGCAUUUUAUAGACAACUUGUUGACUAUGAUUUGUCUUGUAGCUUACUCGCUUAUGUUAUUUUACCUACGCUUAGGAUGUUGAAGACUCUACAGAGAU
rnacentral:rRNA from 1 species